CAUUAUCAUCUCAUUGCAUCAAUCUCCAUAGCACCACUCACAUCCCCUUACAUCACCCACCACCUUUCUCUUCCCCACUUCCAUCAUCCCAUUUUUUCUCCACUGCGCUGCAUUCACACCAUUCAACAUCCACCCAUCCGGCACCACCAUCUCACAUUUCAAAUCCAUUCACUCAUUCGUUUCAUUUACUCUGAUGAAGCCCUGUAUGUCGGGACCAAAUAUUAGUAUACUCUUCAAAUUUAAUUUAGUUUGAAAAUUUUAUUUCGUGACAUUGGAUUCUCGUCGUCGUAUUGCUUUGUUCCUGUAUAUCUCUAAUUUAUUUGCAUGCUUUUUUCUAAAAGAGUAACCAAAAGGUACAUAGAAGUACCCACGAUAAAAAGAAAAAAUUGGAGUCAAGUGACAAGUCGCGGUAUUGUCAUGGACAAUUUCUUAUUGACGAACAAGAGUCCUGGUCUCUACCUGACUGUGCCUUCCCAGUACAAAAUGUUCGUGAAAUUCAAAAAUUUCAAAGAGGGGCCAGAAAGUGCAACAUCAAGGUGCAAAAGCGGAAGUUCAUCAGCAUAAACGAAGGCAAAUUAUGCAAGAUUCAACCGAUCCAAUCGACCUUCUUAACUCAAUAGAACGAAAGAUGCCAAGAAAAGCAAGGCACAACUCUGCUUUUAAAGGUAAACUUCGCAUCUCAACAGUUCCACUGAAACACUUUCAGCGUUCAUACUCAAAGGUUGUGCAAGGAGAAAGUAUCACGAAAGAUCGCCAAGAAAGAGAGAAUCGGAGCCAGUGCAAGGGGCAGUGAGCAACGCCUCAGAUGAGAAUAGACAAGUUGAGAGAGAAUUGGAGCCAAUGCAGGGGGCAGUGAGCAACGCCUCAGAUAAGAAGCAUGACAGAAAUGGUAAUGCUAUUGAAAUUUAUAUUUUUCUAUUAUGAAGCAAGCAAUGUUAAUUUGAACAGAUAAAAUUUCUUUGUAACUGUAGUUUUUUUUAGGAAACUCCGUAUUUUCAAUUUCUUUUUUUUUAUUCGCGGUUGGUAAAUGUCAUUGUAAAAGUGGUAUGCAGUGGUGGGAGAGUAAAGAAAAACUCAAAUCACAGGAACGUAAAGUUGUUGGCAGAAGCGGUAUAUCAUUCUUGUAAAAUCACUACUGAUGGUAAACUGUAUGACUUUGACUAGGCAGCUAUUUUUAAAAAGUAUUACGGAAGGUCCUAGGCUAAUCAUCCCAGCACACUCAAAAAGUUUUGUUCCAUGUAUUACAGAAAUAAGUCAAUUAUUGAUAAGGUAAUAAAUUAAAUUCUGUUAAUCGAGAACAACUCCCCAGGGCCAAACAAUAAUUAAAGUUUUGUCUCUUUUGAUGCCAAAACAAUUUCUGAAAACAAGGACAAGAUUGAGACUUUUUAUGAUGACUCUGUCUGUGGGCAAGUUUCUGAACAGAAUACUCUAGUUAACUACGAUAAUAAGUGGGGGGAGAAAAGGCAAGCGAUACAAAUAUAUCUUUCACCAAGUCUGCAAUCAUAUCUAGUACUACGAGCAAGCGUGUUCCCAAAGAACCGUCCUUUGGUUCUGAAAAAUUUGAAAGAAGGAAACUUUCUAAGAAUGAAAAUAUAGCACAACAAGGAAAGGAAAAGAUUCCCCCUAGGAAAAGCAAUAGUCUUUUAAUAGAAAAAGCGAAAAACAAGUGCUUAAAAAGGUAAAUGAAAUCACGUAGGCAUGAAAAGGCAGUAGGGGUUGUCUUAGGAGAGGCUGUGUCAGCCUAUGCAAAGCGUAUUUUAGGAAGGUUGUAUGAAGAUACAGAGAAUUUGUGUGUAGAAACUGAUAGUGGAGAUGCUUCUUGCCUAUCGCAAGACAAUUUUGACGUCGAUAGUGACACUUCCAUUGAAGAAGAUCCCCAUCUUAAUCAACUAUACUCCCAAGAUCUUAUAAAAGCUUUGUCCAGAUUAAAGUAUGGCUUAAAAAAUAUCAGGGCCCAUAUUAAAAGAAAAAGCAUAAGAUUAUCUCUACCAAAAAAUUGGCAAAAAAGAAUGUUUGUUUAUAGCAUAAACAACAGUCAGGAAGGCAAAAAAAACUUAUCUUUCAUCUGAGGGAAUAGGGAAAUGGUAGCUAAGACCAAUAAACUUUGCGUUUUGAUUUUUGGCUUCACACAUAUUCAAAAAACAUGCUUAAAAAAAAUUCAAAUAUUCGGACUUGCAAGGCUGAAUGUACAAUACCUGAAUGUCAGUUUGAAGUAACUUUUUCCAUAUUAAAUUUCUUGUCAAAACGCCUGUAUUUUCACUUUGAUGGUAACGUUUAUCAUCGGAAGGAUUCUUUAGCAGCAAGGAAAAUUUCUGAUGAAGAAAAAGAGAAGCUAACAUCUUUGUUUGUUGAAAACAGAUCAAUUUUGCCAUCUGAAAAACAUCGAGUUUUAGACAGAGGUCUAAUUCCUUUUCCAGAGUUCUUAAUUCAUUUUUAUUUCAGAAAUUAAUAAAUAGCAAAGAGUUUUUCCCACUGUAGGGAAGUUAUUUACAAUAUUACAGGAUCAAGAAAGAGCCCAGUUAAAACACAUCUUGAAAAAGAAAAGAGAAACCAAAUUAUGAAAAAGAGAGCUCUGACAUAGAAAAUGAUUCAGAAAUUACGGAGACACAGAGUAAUCCCAGCCAAAAGCUCAUGUUAAUCUCCCAAGAAACAGACACACAAGAAACAGACAAUGAUUUUGAAACACUGGAGAAAGACGGAAAUUUUGAGCAACAAGAAAUUGGUAAUGCUAGAAUUAAAUUGAAAUCUGAAGUCUCAAAAACAAAGGAAAAAUGUUUCCAAACGUUUGGUGAAAAUGGUGAACCAAUAACUGAUCCAGCUAAAUUUGAAAAGCUUUGUAACGAAGCAGGGGCAACAACAAUUUUUCAAAAUUAAGGAAGAACCUAUGUCAACUGAUAGACAAACAGCUGAAAGAAAAAAAAUCAAUAUAAAAAGAGCUGUUUCAAUUAUAUACAGCCUUGUCUACGGUCAGUCACAAAAGGCUAACUUUUUUCAAGUGGCAACCGCCAGAACUCUAAGAGACUUUUGGGUUACAAGUAGGGUCAUGGAAAUAAGUUUUAAAGCACACCCUCGCACGGUUAUUAACACCAAUGAAGAUAUUGCUGCAAAUCAUAGCAAAACCGUGAAUGAUUAUUUUACAAAUGCAGCAGAAAAGGGUAUAUGGUGAUAAUUUUGAUAAAAUGACUACAAUAAUAUCCAUGCUAAUCGGCGUGCCACUACUUCUGUCACAUCCUAAGUCACUCACAUGGCAACACUUCUAUUAAAGUCAUUCCAAAGUGUUGAAGCAAUAAUUUCAUUUUUGUUGGAAGUGCUAUAUGGUGGUUGGACGUUGGUUAAGAAUGAGAUCAUUGCUGCCUUUCCAAAUUGUAAAGAUUUUGAAUAUCUUACAUUACUCAAUGUCCUUGACAGUUACAUUUCUAUAACACUGAGUAUUUACUCAAUGGUAUUCAAAAGUAACAUGGCAACUGAGUAUUAUCAAUCAUUAUUUCGUUGCUGGGUAAUGUUUCUUGUGUUCAGGAGAAGACAUUAUGACAAGGCUCCUUUCAUAGCUCUUUCCAACAUUGAGUACUGGAAAUUGAUUGGGCAUCCAAUCAUCAUUCCAAUUUCUUCCUCUUUCCAGCUUUUGAUGAAUACCCUGUUGAAAAUUUUCACUCAUUAUUAUGAGCAAGUACCACAGAAACUGACAAUGCUGAACAAAUAUCACGCAAGGCACUGAAGCAUGAGCUCCAUGACUUUGGAGCAACAUUUGUGCCACCAAGGAGGCCAACAUAUAGUCAAAAGAGCAUUGAUAACUUGGAGGUUGAGGCAGCAGAAUUUCUCACAGAAAAGUUUGCCACAUCGAGCUCUAACAUGGGACAAGCCACAAAAGUUACAAAAACAAGAGAAGGAGAAAAAACAAAAGAAACAAAAUGCAGGCUACCAAACUUAUUUGGGCAGAAAGUUGUAGUUGAUGAGUUUCUUCCUACUGGCUGGAAACUUCCUACUGGGUGUGAGACAAAUGCUCCAAAUCCAAAUCGAAAAUGUGAUAAAGAGGACUGCAAGAAAGUAUACCACACCUGGUGUGUAUUUACCUGUGGCCACUUCUUUUAUGUGCAAUGCCUUCUGCAUGCACUCAGCACAUGUUUCACUUCCAAAAAAUGCUGUCAGAGAAAGUACA